rnacentral:rRNA from 1 species
GACGAACGCUGGCGGCGUGCCUAAUACAUGCAAGUCGAACGAGUGGCGGACGGGUGAGUAACACGUGGGAACCUACCCAUCAGAGGGGGAUAACUACUGGAAACGGUGGCUAAUACCGCAUACUAUCGGAUGAACCCAUAUGGGAUUAGCUAGUGGGUGGGGUAAAGGCUCACCUAGGCGACGAUCUCUAGCUGGGCUGAGAGGAUGAGCAGCCGCACUGGGACUGAGACACGGCCCAGACUCCUACGGGAGGCAGCAGUGGGGAAUAUUGCACAAUGGACGAAAGCCUGAUGCAGCCAUGCCGCGUGUGUGAAGAAGGCCUUAGGGUUGUAAAGUACUUUCAGCAGGGAGGCGUUACCCGCAGAAGAAGCGCCGGCUAACUCCGUGCCAGCAGCCGCGGUAAUAC